rnacentral:tRNA from 3 species
GGGCCCGUAGCUCAGUGGUUAGAGCAGGGGACUCAUAAUCCCUUGGUCGCAGGUUCAAAUCCUGCUGGGCCCA